AGCGAUUCCAAGCCGGAGAGCGCCACAUCCACUGAAUGGCGCUGACAAACUGCGCCACACAGCUUCUCCUGCGACAGCUGCUCUCACAGACCCAUGUUUUCUGUUCACUCGCUCACCCGAAUCAGGUGACACCCUGCAAGGGUAACUAUUGGCUCUUGUCUCAGACCUUCCCCGAGGUGAUUGGUGGAGUGACGAGCACUCAGCAUGUGACCUCUACAAUGAGCUUCCGCCCACAGAGACAGUAUGGCGGAUCACGGCGUAUAAAUACUCCUCGAGAAGGUGAAGUCUCCUUGGUUACGGUGUAAAAAUACGGAAGCGGCUCUAAACCCAAGAGUGAAAGUCACAGGAGCCGCGAUGUUUAAUAACCCUGCCAGACCCCAAGGAGAUGUCUUCCACUCGAAAAUUAAUCCUCAGCACGACAGAUGUACAAUGAACACAGUCAUAUGUCACAGCAGGCGAGAACAGACAAUAGGUCCUCAGCCUACAGCUGUCAGCCGAGUAGUGAAGUAAUUACAACCUGCCUCUGACCCAAACUGGCCUGAAGCCCAACACGGAGGACCUGUGGAGGGCCACCAAAAGAGAAGAAGAAGCAGAAAAAGGACAUGAUAUGACACAGACUGAUAAUGACAAAUAGAGGGAAAGGACAAAGAAGAGAUAGCAAAAGGGGAAUAAAAAAUAUAGAAGAGCGUGACUGAGUCUGCAAUGGUGGUUAAUGACAGAAGGAGGUAGAUGAGGGCAGGCAAACUAGGGGGGCGAGCAGGAUGGCAGAGGGAGAAGGGAGGGAAAGCUUCCGACAAAAGGAAGUGGGAGACAGUCCAGUAAACACAUGGUGGGUGAGUACAUUUGCGUGUGUGUGUGUGUGUGUGCUCGUGAAUCCCUGAACAUGUUGGAGCAACAACAACCACAUGGUAAGGGACUGCAAGUCAAUGGUCACAGCAGUAAUUGCAUUAUAUUCCUCAAUGCUAAACUUGAAAAUCACAUUCAAAUUCAAACAAAGCCUCCAAGAGGAAACGCCCAUGUAAAUCUACGUAUAACCAUAAACCGUAUGCAUGCACAACAAUCAGAAGCAUUUGA